GACGGAAGGUGCAAGCGUUGCUCGGAAUCACUGGGCGUAAAGGGUGCGUAGGCGGCCGUGCAAGUCUGGUGUGAAAGCCCCGGGCUCAGCCCGGGAAGUGCGCUCGAAACUGCGCGGCUCGAGUGCCGGAGGGGAGAGUGGAAUUCCUGGUGUAGCGGUGAAAUGCGUAGAUAUCAGGAGGAAUACCGGUGGCGAAAGCGACUCUCUGGACGGCAACUGACGCUGAGGCACGAAAGCGUGGGGAGCAAACAGG
rnacentral:rRNA from 1 species